UACGUAGGGGGCGAGCGUUGUCCGUAGUUACUGGGCGUAAAGCGCGCGUAGGCGGGUUGGCAAGUCUGCUGUGAAAGCCCGGAGCUCAACUCCGGAGGGUCGGUGGAUACUGCCAGUCUUGAAGUGGCUAGGGGGAGAUGGAAUUACCGGUGUAGCGGUGAAAUGCGUAGAGAUCGGUAGGAACACCAGUGGCGAAGGCGGUCUCCUGGGGCUCACUUGACGCUGAUGCGCGAAAGCUAGGGGAGCAAACGGG
rnacentral:rRNA from 1 species